GACAUAAGACACGGCUCUUGUGCUACACGCGUAGCCUUGAUAGAACCUUUCUCACCUCGUUUCCAUGGCUGCUUCAGCUUCUUUCUCUCUAUCAUCCCCACUUCUCUGUCUCUCUCCCGAUGAGGAAUCCACAAGGCCAUCCCGAACCUGAUUUCGAACCUCCUCCGACGAUACCUUCGAAUCCUCGGACAUCGAAGAAGAAGGUUAGCUCCAAACUGAAUCGAUGGUCCAUGGGCCGAGCUUUACGAUCCGGUGCCGUUAAGAUCGACCGUCAGACUUAUCGUACCGAUAACAAUGACCAUGAGUUGCUUUAAAGGUGGAGACUUUGUUGCUGCUUUGAUGCUGAACCUGAUUGUCAAUGAUGUUUAUCAGCACAACUUUGGUCAUCGUCCCCUUCAGUGUCUGAACUUUCUGGAGAUGCGGCAACUGCACCAGCCCAAGUCUCUGUGGGAAUGGGUUUGCUCGCUGGCUCCACCGUUACUUACGUCCUGUGUCAUUAGCUAUUUGACUGCACUUUGAUUGGAGUAGUGCGAUGAAUGAAGAAGAUAAUAGAAACAACAGGAACAACAAUUCUCAUUGGAAGUGGUGACAUGGCUAGAAGUAAAGGCGAGCUAAGAGAAGGUUCUUGAGAGCUACUGCUGUGGAAGAGGAUACUUCUUCGCUUCCUCUACCGACGCUGCUUAAACCAGAGCUCAAGCAUGGAAAGAAACCUCUUUUCGAUCUCAUGGAGGCUAUUAGAGAGAUAAAGAGUGAGUGAGGAGAGGACGAUCUGGACUCAUCAUAUAUUCAUGAGAAAAACAUUUUUCUAAUUAGAUGAGCUUUCCUGAGGAUGCUUUGAGGGAGACCAUUGGUGCAUUUAUGAACGCCCUAUUGCUAGCAAAGCCUGCCGGAUUGAAAAAGAGUAAUAAGUCCAUACCCCAAGCUUAUACUUUUGUAUGUUGAUCUUUGUUUUGGAUGAUUUGAGUGGUUACUCUUUAACUAAACAAUGGUAAAAAAAUUUUUUUUAAGAACCCCUAAAUAAAAACCUCCCAUUGGAGCACAAAAUUAAGGUGUUUCUUAACUAGGGUUCUUAAUUACAUUUAAUUAAUAAAAUUAUCAUUAAAAGACUCUAAGUGGGGUUGUGGGUUAAUCAUACUCUUAGGACAUCGUUAUCGUCGGCCCUUGGGCCCGACCCUUAACCCAUUUUGGGUUUAAAAAAAAUUAAAAAUGGCAAAGGACGAGACGAACGGGCCUUGAUUAAGGGCUUCUCGGUGUCGUCCCUCGUGGGUACGUGGCAGCACCGGAGUGGGAGAUGAUUUCGAAGAUGGAUCGUCUUUUUCAUUUUCUUUCUUCGUGCCUCUUUUCUAUCCGACUCCAAAAGGCGACGGCGAAGGCGAUUUAGCAGAGGAGGAAGCUUUCUACGUGAUCUCUUAAUCGAUCUCUGGUGGCGAAGACUUGUUUCCGAAACCGAAAGCGCAAUCCACAUCCGACUCCGAAAUCGACUCUGAAAUAUCCGAUGACAAAGACCUAAAUCGUCGGUUCGCUUCGUUUCCCAAGCAUCCCCAAUCGUCUGAGAAUCGACCUAAUCGUACCAAGG